rnacentral:tRNA from 1 species
UGUGGCUCAGGCUCAGCUGGUAGAGUGUUUGCCUGGAAUGCACAAAGACCUGGGUUUCAUUCCCAGAACCACAC